GCCUUAUGCAGGGGAGUAGCCUGCUCUCUUUAGCUCUUGUGGUGACCUGGGAAUCAAUCGGCGAGGUAGAGGGCCUGUUAGCAGGACUCCAUCUCACUUUGCUGAGUUCUUUCUUUUUUUCCUUUUCUCCCAAUAAAUUCCACUCCUCACCCUUUUAUGUGUCUACCAGUCUAAUCUUUCCUGGUCAUGUGACAAGAACCCCGUUUUGGCAGAACUAAGGAGAAAGUUCUGCAACAUUUUUGGCAUCCAGACAUGGGGCUUGAGGAAAGAGUCAAGGAAACUUAUUUUGAACUAUUUACAGCCUUUAAUGAUUAAGGUAUACUCCUGUGAACAAAAUUUGGAGCAUAUAUGUCUCUCUCUGCCUGGCUUCCCCGGAAUUUGGAAACUAGUUGUGAGUAUUCUUAACUUAUAGCAAUGUAGUUGUUUGCAUCAGUGCCAUAAGAAUCCAUUUUCUUUUGCAGUAUGAUGCAAUUGGAGAAACUGUUUUACCAAGGCUUGGACUGGAAGGGUAUGCUUCCCUUUAAGGAGCCAAGCUCGACUUGCAGAGCUGAUAAAAGCCCCUUGGGAAAACUGGUCUGAUACCCUUAUCUACACAGUACCUGUAUAGGGUUCCUGACCUGUGGUAAGUAAAGAAUGCUACUUUGUGACAGGACCAGGAGCUCUAAGUUUAUCUUGGGACCUUAAGAGGAGAGGAUCACCCAACUCACAGGUAUUUGAGGACACAAACCCAUGGCUGUGCUCAGCUUUAAAAGGUCUUAUCUGAAAUUUCUUGUGGAACAGAGUUCCAUCAAAGCCAAUCUAAAAGGCCCUAUGUAGAAAAAUUAUUCUUGCUGUACUUUAUGCAAAUAAUCAGGUCAAAUAUAAGACUAAAGUCUAUUUUGCCAGCAACUCAGUCUUAUCAUGAUUUUUUUUUUUUUAACAAAAAAUGAGGACUGGAGACAGAGAAAUUAUGUUUCAAAACUUACCAUACAUUUGUCUUUAAAUUCUAGACUCAUUAGUUGUUUUUAAGUUUUUGCCUACACUUUAGACUAGCUCUGUUUGUUCUCGUGAACCAACCAGGAAUCUCCAGCUGCACCUUAGAAAGAAUAAAAGGGCUAGGUGAUGUAAAAACCUGGAUCAAAAUUCUAGUUCUGAGCAAUUAUCCUGCAAAUCCUGCCAGGUGAUGGGAAAAAAUAGGAUAUAAAUAGGGUACCCAUCACCCAGAGGUUUUCUUCUUGGGAAAGUAAGACUAAGGGAGCUAACCAAAGCCAAGCCCCAUGCACCCAGAUCUUAGCAAGCAUAACUACAGCCACCAGUUAUCUGGGCAUGUCACAAGACAUCCUUUUCUCUCCCUUGUUGGAGGAGGACUCAAUUCCACAGCUUCACCUUAGCAUUUGGCUUAUGAUAAGGAGUCCAUGCAACACCCCUUCUGCGAGGCACAUUUUUGUCCCAAACUCAAUUCCAAGCUUCAGGUCAAAGCCCUAGGAAAGAAAACUGGAUUUGAGAGAUCCAGAGGUAGAUGAUAAUGGAAGUUAAAAGGCAUAGCACAGGUGAACAUGACUGAUUUCCUGCCAAUUAAGCCAAGCUUCCCAUUUCAUGGAUAAAGGUCAUGAUACUAUCCACAGCAUAAAUGAGGUCUAGGGAAUUCAAAGUCUACUGACAGCAGAGGAGAUAGGGCAUACGUGGGUAAGAGUGGAUACUCCCAUCCCCUAGACUCCCUUUUAACAAGGGUGAAAGCCGCUUUGACUGCAUGGGCAGUACCCUGUCGCAGUCACUGGAACUUGGAGAUACAAGGAUGGAGGAAAAGAAAGAGGAAAGGCUCACUUUCUCUCCCUCAUGUACCCCAGGUAUUUGCUAGGAAGAGAAGGGAACCAGGGAUGCCUUGCUCUCCUCUUUCUAGUAAACUCUGCUCCUCACCCUUCUAUGUGUCUGCAAACCUGAUCUUUUCUGGUCAUGUGACAAGAACCCGGCUUUGGCUGAAUUAAGGAGAAAGUUCUGCAACAGUAUCCUUGACCUUAUAAGGUGUCCGUGGGAUCUGGAAGCGAUUCAAGUCCAAGCAUCAUAGGAUUAUAGUGAAAUAAUCCAUACAGAUGUUUCCUGGUUGGGAGAAAAAUUUGUUAUGUGCAACAGAUCACAGAACUGGGGGCAGUGGACUUUUGAAACAAAAAGAUUUUUAUUUCUUAACCAGCAACCUCGUGUUACUUUUUAUAUUCUUCCUCUAUUGUAAAUAAAUUUUUUGAAAAAUAA